rnacentral:rRNA from 1 species
GCUCACAUGAAGUUUCGUGCCGUUCCGACCUCGUUUGAUACGGUUAUGGUUAGCCCCUCGGGCCCGACCCGAGCCCAGUCAACGUUUUGACCCGACCAAAUCGGCCGUGACCCGAAACGACCCCUACUUGGGCCCUACAACAGCCACGUAAAGUUUCGGGAUGAUCCGACGUUCUUUCAUGGGGUUACGGACAAUCCACGCCAAACAAGCGUCACGGCCGACCGAGCCGGGCCAACGGGCCCUCGGGACCCGAAAACUGAAUUUUUUUUCAUCCAAACCCAUUAAAACACGUUACCGAGGUCUCACGCAAAAUUUCAUGCCAAUCCGACGUCGUUUGAUGGGGUUUUGAAAAUUAUGAUUCCUCAAAAAUUUAAUGUCUGUUCCUGUCACUUAGCUUUUUGUGCAAAAUGUAUAUAUAGGGGAGGGGUGGGGUGUUGAGCAGCCCAUGCCCGGGCAAGGCAUGCCAGCGCCCAAGCCAAAGGAGGCUGGUGGCGUGCGUAUAACAGCUCAAAUGCCCCAACGAUGACCGAGAACAAGCGCCCAUCUCCCCUCAUUCCCCCCCACCAAGCGCCCCUCCCCCCCCAUGUUGCCUGCCCACUCGCACAGCUACUCGUGAUUUCAUGCCCAGCGACUAGUGAAUGUGCCUCGACGACCAGCAAACCUCGAAAAUUAUGAUUCCUCGUAAAAUUAAUGUCUGUUCCUGUCACUUUACUUUUUGUGCAAAAUGUAUAUAUAGGGGAGACCAGGGGCUUGAGCAACCCCUGUGCCCAAGCAAGGGUCAGAUGGAAGCACACGAGACGCGAGGUUUAAAGCCUAUACAAGCAAGGCGUCUGUCUCCCCAAGCCCCAUUGCCUAUAAAACAAGCCCGAUGCCUUGUAAAUGCCCCACACGAUGCCUAUAAACGACAACGAUGUUUGCUAGUUAAUCGAUCGACGCCCCACACCUUGCAGCAUGUUGCCUAGUAAACAAGCCAUGCUGCCUUGGAAGCGCCCCACAUCAUGGCAUGUUGCCUAGCAACGCUGCCCUUGUUUCCCGCACGGCGACCUGAAAGCGUGGCCUGACGACGUGCUUGCCUUCGAAAAUUAUGAUUCCUCAAAAAAUUAAUGUCUGUUCCUGUCACUUUACUUUUUGU